UGCGUAGGCGGCUCGGUCAGUCUGGUGUGAAAUCUCCUCGCUUAACGAGGAACCCGCACUGGAAACUGUCGAGCUCGAGAGUGGAAGAGGCAGGUGGAAUUCCUGGUGUAGCGGUGGAAUGCGUAGAUAUCAGGAAGAACACUCGUGGCGAAGGCGGCCUGCUGGUCCAUUUCUGACGCUGAGGCACGAAAGCCAGGGGAGCGAACG
rnacentral:rRNA from 1 species